AGUUGUGGCCGCGACUGCCCGGGAGUGGCGCUUGCCGCGGUCCGGGCUUGCACCCCGCUGGGCAAAGUACCCGGGGCUGUCACACGGCGAGCUGAGCCCUGGGCCGGCGGGUCUUCAGAUGCAAGAAGACAGCCACAGCUGUGGCACACUGCAAACGCAGCAAUCAAGGUGAACAGGCGGCCCCUGGAGAUGAUCGAGCUAUACAUACCAAUAUAUGAGCUGCUGGAACCAGUUCUGCUUCCAGACAAGGAGUGAUUUGCUGGCAUGGACGUGUCCAUGUGAAGGGUGGUGAUCACAUGGCCUAGAUAUAUGCUAUCCAUCAGUCCAGCCUCAAAGCCCUGGUGUCCUAUUACCAGAAGUAUAUGGAUGAGUUUUCCAAGGAGGAGAUCAAAGACAAAGAUCAAAGACAUCCUCAUACAGUACGACCAGAUCCUGCUGGUGGCUGACCUCCACCACCACUAAUCCAAAAAAUUAAGAGACGCUGGUACCCAUGCUUGCUACCAGAAAUCCUACCAAUAAGCCCAUCAUGAGAAUUGGGGUUUACUUGUAUAAUAAACAAUGUUUGAGAGAUUUUUAAAAAAACAGAGAUGAUCCUUUUGUAGUUCAUGAGCAUGAUGAUUGGGUGUUCCUGCCCACGUGUGAGAUGAGCCACCCUCGAACCUUGUUACCAUGUUGACAUAUUACCUGACUGACGUGAGAAAAACAAAAAAAAAGGAGAUUAUGUUAAGUGCCUG
rnacentral:lncRNA from 1 species